rnacentral:rRNA from 1 species
UACGAAGGGGCUAGCGUUGCUCGGAAUUACUGGGCGUAAAGCGCACGUAGGCGGCUCUUUAAGUCGGAGGUGAAAUCCUGGAGCUCAACUCCAGAACUGCCUUCGAUACUGUAGAGCUUGAGUUCGGGAGAGGUGAGUGGAACUGCGAGUGUAGAGGUGAAAUUCGUAGAUAUUCGCAAGAACACCAGUGGCGAAGGCGGCUCACUGGCCCGAUACUGACGCUGAGGUGCGAAAGCGUGGGAGCAACAGGG